CCUACGGGGGGCAGCAGUGAGGAAUAUUGGUCCAUGGGCGGGAGCCUGAACCAGCCAAGUCGCGUGAGGGGUGACGGCCCUAUGGGUUGUACACCUCUUUUGCCGGGGAGCCAAGUGCCGCACGUGUGCGGUUUUGAGAGUACCCGGUGAAAAAGCAUCGGCUAACUCCGUGCCAGCAGCCGCGGUAAGACGGAGGAUGCGAGCGUUAUCCGGAUUUAUUGGGUUUAAAGGGUGCGUAGGCGGACGCCUAAGUCAGCGGUAAAAUUGCGGAGCUCAACCUCGUCGAGCCGUUGACACUGGGUGCCUUGAGUGGGCGAGAAGUACGCGGAAUGCGGGGUGUAGCGGUGAAAUGCAUAGAUAUCACGCAGAACUCCGAUUGCGAAGGCAGCGUACCGGCGCCCAACUGACGCUGAAGCACGAAGGCGUGGGUAUCGAACAGGAUUAGAUACCCGGGUAGUC
rnacentral:rRNA from 1 species